GCCUUUGUGGUGUAGUGGUCAGCACGCUCGGCGCGAAUUCGAAAGGUCCGUGGUUCAAGUCCUGGCGCAGGUG
rnacentral:tRNA from 1 species